GGGGCUCCCUCUCAACCUAUUCUGGCGCCUGGAGCAAGCCUUACCUGCAGUCCCCGCCGCGGCGAGGAGCAAGGCGACGGUCCAGCGCAAUUUCCAGCCCCAGGGCCCCAUGCUCGCAGCCUCUGCCAGGCAGUGUCCCGACCCGGAUCACGACCUGCUGUGUCCUAGCUGGAAACCCUGGCUUCCCGCGAUUGCACUCGGGGCCCACGUCAUUUACAGCAUUUCAAUGUGAGGUUUCUAGCAGGGGGAGGAGUUUGCAGUGGGGUGAUUUUCAAAUGUCUUCACCUCACUGCAAGAGGAGGAGUUUCGAACGGCCGAUGUGACAUCGGCUUUUUAACCCGUGAAGCUCUGAUUCCCACUCCAGUCCUUCGAAAGUGUCGCCAGGGCAGGCGACUUGAUUUGUUGUAUUUGGGUCUCCGGUGAAGAGCUGACGCCCCCUCAAAAUUGGAAACGCAUCUUCUGAAAGAUCCUCCUGAAAUUUCUCGAUGUUUAACUGUUAACAUUUUGCUGUUGUUGUCCACAGAAGGAUAACAACAGCCUUUCAAGAUCCUCCAAUAGCCUAAUGCCAUUGUCCUCUCUGCCUCAAAAGGAA